UUAACAUCUUUGAUAGGUAUAUUUAUUUAGGUUAAUUACAGCUAAGUUUACAUGGCUAAUUAAUAUGCUUUUAUAAAUUGCAAUUUUUAUUAAUUUCCAAAUUGAACAUGUGGCAUCUAAUAUCAUAAACUAAGAUUAUACUGAAUUUGCUGUUUUAGAAGCAUGGCAUUUAGUGUCACAUUGUAGGUUUAAAUUGGUUGUAGAAUUUAUAUUGUAACUUACAUAUUUAUUUAGUUGAGUUUAGUCUAAGUUUAUAUCUGAUGAGUUUGUAUUAUUUAAGAAUUUACUGUUUUAGACACGUAGCAUGUGGUAUCCCACUGUAAGUUUGAAUUAGUAUAUUUAAAAAAUAUAUAUAUUUUAACUUCCAUUUCUUUUGACGUUCAUGUUUAUAUAAUUAGAUUUCCACUAAGUUUGUGUAUGGCUUGUUUAUAUUAUUUCAGAAUUUGGUAUUUUAGACACUUGUCAUACUAUAAGUUUAAAUUGGAUGUAAAAUUUAUAUUGUAACUUGCAUUUCUAUUGGCGUGCAUAUUUAUUUAGUCAAGUUUCAACUAUUAUUAAUAAUAAUAAUAAUAAUAAUAAUAAUAAUAAUAAUAAUAAUAAGUUUAAAUCUGGCGUGUUUAUAAUAUUUUAAAGUUUACUAUUUUAGACACGUGGCAUGUGGUAUCCCACUAAUUAGCUAUUUUAAACAUGUGACAAGUCGUAUGACACUAUAAGUUUAAAAAAGUUGUAAAACUAAUUUUUUUAUAUAGUUACUUGCGUUUUUUUUGGUCUGCAUAUUUAAUCUUGUCUUGAUUUAUCAUAGUUUUUAAAAGGUUUGAGACUUUAUUUUUUGCUCCUGAUAGGUAUUGAUGUAUGUGAAAUGUAUAGAGUCUUUCAGCUAUCAGAUAAUAUCAAGGAGUUGACAGCAUGGUGUCCGAUUUAAAGUGCGAACCUGUGUACGAGUAACAACAGUAUUCAAAACCAAAACCUAUUUAAACCAAUCAAACCAAAACUAGCGACCAAAAACUAUCUUGGCAUUGGUUUAUUUUAAACAUCUAUUAUAUAUAUGUGUGAUUUUUAUAUAAAUGUACUAGCUUGAGUACUAGUAAUAUUGUAAUAUCAUUGCAACUUGUAUAUAUGAACCACCUUAAGUAUCUAAACAACAAGGCUGACUUAUUUCUUUUUCAAAAAAAAAAAAAAAAAUGGCAUAUUCAAAAUCUUUAUCUUGCAUACAACUUUUUCCUUUUUCAUAUAAAUUUCCAGAUUUAU